GAUAAUUGCUUCCUUUUAUUUGGAACCCUUCGUUUCUUAGAGAUCUUUCCCUGCUUCUUCAAUUCUAAUUGAGUUGCAUUUUUUGGAAUUUCCUCUUCGUAGGAGAGAGGGAUUCAACUUCAUGAGAACCUAGAAGUUGAUGAGGAAACCAGGUUUUCAGCAGUUGUUAGAGAGGUUGAUGAUAGCGGUUAUGACGACUGUGAGGACAUAUUAUUGGAUUCACGUAAUGACGAAACAUUUCGGAACCUAGAAGUCGAUGAGGAAACCAGGUUUUCAGCAGUUGUUAGAGAGGUUGAUGAUAGCGGUUAUGACGACUGUGAGGACAUAUUAUUGGAUUCGUGUAAUGACGAAACAUUUCAAGGUGUAUCUAGUACUAUGGGCAAGUUAUCUGC
rnacentral:lncRNA from 1 species